UUGGAUAUGUGAUAAUCUCAUUCCAACUUAAAGUCUCUCACUGAAUAUUUGAGAAUAAUAACAGAUCAGCUAUUCUG
ensembl:snoRNA SNORD81 Small nucleolar RNA SNORD81